UACAGAGGUCUCAAGCGUUGUUCGGAUUCAUUGGGCGUAAAGGGUGCGUAGGUGGCGUGGUAAGUCGGGUGUGAAAUCUCGGAGCUUAACUCCGAAAUUGCAUUCGAUACUGCCGUGCUUGAGGACUGGAGAGGAGACUGGAAUUUACGGUGUAGCGGUGAAAUGCGUAGAUAUCGUAAGGAAGACCAGUGGCGAAGGCGGGUCUCUGGACAGUUCCUGACGCUGAGGCACGAAGGCCAGGGGAGCAAACGGG
rnacentral:rRNA from 1 species